UGGGGAAUUUUGGACAAUGGGGGAAACCCUGAUCCAGCCAUCCCGCGUGUGCGAUGAAGGCCUUCGGGUUGUAAAGCACUUUUGGCAGGAAAGAAACGUCGCGGGUUAAUACCCCGCGAAACUGACGGUACCUGCAGAAUAAGCACCGGCUAACUACGUGCCAGCAGCCGCGGUAAUACGUAGGGUGCAAGCGUUAAUCGGAAUUACUGGGCGUAAAGCGUGCGCAGGCGGUUCGGAAAGAAAGAUGUGAAAUCCCAGAGCUUAACUUUGGAACUGCAUUUUUUAACUACCGGGCUAGAGUGUGUCAGAGGGAGGUGGAAUUCCGCGUGUAGCAGUGAAAUGCGUAGAUAUGCGGAGGAACACCGAUGGCGAAGGCAGCCUCCUGGGAUAACACUGACGCUCAUGCACGAAAGCGUGGGGAGCAAACAGGAUUAGAUACCCUGGUAGUCCACGCCCUAAACGAUGUCAACUAGCUGUUGGGGCCUUCGGGCCUUGGUAGCGCAGCUAACGCGUGAAGUUGACCGCCUGGGGAGUACGGUCGCAAGAUUAAAACUCAAAUGAAUU
rnacentral:rRNA from 1 species